rnacentral:tRNA from 1 species
GGGUCGUUGGCUCAGAGGAAGAGCACCUCCCUGACGCGGAGGGGGUCGCAAGUUCGAGUCUUGCACGACCCACCA